rnacentral:rRNA from 1 species
UACGGGGGGGGCAAGCGUUGUUCGGAAUUACUGGGCGUAAAGGGCUCGUAGGCGGCCAACUAAGUCCGACGUGAAAUCCCCAGCUUAACCUGGGAACUGCGUCGGAUACUGGAUGGCUUGAAUUCGGGAGAGGGAUGCAGAAUUCCAGGUGUAGCGGUGAAAUGCGUAGAUAUCUGGAGGAAUACCGGUGGCGAAGGCGGCAUCCUGGACCGACAUUGACGCUGAGGAGCGAAAGCUAGGGGAGCAAACGGG